rnacentral:rRNA from 1 species
AAAACAUAGCUUAAAGAAUUUUUAUUUUAGGUUUAACCUGCUCAAUGAAUUAAAAUUUAAUAGCUGCGGUACCCUGACCGUACUAAGGUAGCAUAAUCAAUUGGCUUUUAAUUGGGGUCUGGAAUGAAAGGAUUUAUGGAAAAAACCUGUCUCAUUUUUUUUCUAUUAAACUUACUUUAUAAGUGCAAAAGCUUAUAUUAUAAAAAAAGACGAGAAGACCCUUGGAAUUUUGUUUUUGUUGGGGCAACGUAGAAUAAAUAAUAAUAUUCUUAAUUAAAUAAAAAAAGACAAAUAAUAUUUUGAUUUAUUAAAUUACCCAAGGGAUAACAGCAUAAUUUUUUACUAAGUUUGUGACCUCGAUGUUGGACUAGGAAAAUUAAUAAUAAGCCAUUAUUAGUUUAGGUUCUGUUCGAACUAAAAAUCCUACGUGAUCU